GCCCUCGUAGUUCAACGGAUAGAACUACGCACUCCUAACGCGUGAAUCGAGGUUCGACUCCUCGCGAGGGCA
rnacentral:tRNA from 1 species